rnacentral:rRNA from 1 species
GACGAACGCUGGCGGCGUGCCUAAUACAUGCAAGUUGAGCGCUGAAGGUUGGUACUUGUACCAACUGGAUGAGCAGCGAACGGGUGAGUAACGCGUGGGGAAUCUGCCUUUGAGCGGGGGACAACAUUUGGAAACGAAUGCUAAUACCGCAUAAAAACUUUAAACACAAGUUUUUAGUUUGAAAGAUGCAAUUGCAUCACCCAAAGAUGAUCCCGCGUUGUAUUAGCUAGUUGGUGAGGUAAAGGCUCACCAAGGCGAUGAUACAUAGCCGACCUGAGAGGGGGAUCAGCCACAUUGGGAAUGAGACACGGCCCAAACCCCCAGUGGAGGCAGCAGGAGGGAAACUGCGGCAAGGGCUGAAAGACUGACCGAGAGACGCCGCAAGAGUGAAGAAGGUGGUCGGAUCGUAAAACGCUGUUGGGAGAGAAGAACGUUGGUGCGAGUGGAAAGCUCACAAAGUGACGGUAACUAGGCAGAAAGCGACGGCUAACUACGUG